rnacentral:rRNA from 1 species
CAGCAGCCGCGGGAACGCGUAGGGUGCAAGCGUUAAUCGGAAUUACUGGGCGUAAAGCGUGCGUAGGCGGCUUCUUAAGUCGGAUGUGAAAUCCCUGAGCUUAACUUAGGAAUUGCAUUCGAUACUGGGAAGCUAGAGUAUGGGAGAGGAUGGUAGAAUUCCAGGUGUAGCGGUGAAAUGCGUAGAGAUCUGGAGGAAUACCGAUGGCGAAGGCGGCCAUCUGGCCUAAUACUGACGCUGAGGUACGAAAGCAUGGGGAGCAAACAGGAUUAGAUACCCCCGUAGUCCCUGUCUCUUAUAC